UCAUGGUCUUUAAUUAUUAAUGAAGUUGCAUUUUUGAUUUGUAAGCGAGUGUCAGCUGGUAGGUGCUGGUUGAAGUACAGACCUCAGAGGGAAAAAGACCUUAAACCUUAGCUCUUGGAAGAUCAGCCCCUCCCUGGCAUCAUCAGACAUCUUCUUAACUUUCCUUUGGUUGGGAACUCUUCACAGAGUGGUUUACUAGGGCUUGCCCCCUCUUGUAAGCCACUGGGGUCCUUCUGCAGAAGUGC